rnacentral:rRNA from 1 species
AGCGAACGCUGGCGGCAGGCCUAACACAUGCAAGUCGAACGAACUCUUCGGAGUUAGUGGCGGACGGGUGAGUAACACGUGGGAACGUGCCUUUAGGUUCGGAAUAACUCAGGGAAACUUGUGCUAAUACCGAAUGUGCCCUUCGGGGGAAAGAUUUAUCGCCUUUAGAGCGGCCCGCGGCUGAUUAGCUAGUUGGUGAGGUAAUGGCUCACCAAGGCUACGAUCAGUAGCUGGUCUGAGAGGAUGACCAGCCACAUUGGAACUGAGACACGGCCCAAACUACUACGGGAGGCAGCAGUGGGGAAUCUUGCGCAAUGGGCGAAAGCCUGACGCAGCCAUGCCGCGUGGAUGAUGAAGGUCUUAGGAUUGUAAAAUCCUUUCACCGGUGAAGAUAAUGACUGUAGCCGGAGAAGAAGCCCCGGCUAACUUCGUGCCAGCAGCCGCGGUAACAC